rnacentral:rRNA from 1 species
AGUGAACGCUGGCGGUAGGCCUAACACAUGCAAGUCGAACGGCAGCACAGUAAGAGCUUGCUCUUACGGGUGGCGAGUGGCGGACGGGUGAGGAAUACAUCGGAAUCUACUUUUUCGUGGGGGAUAACGUAGGGAAACUUACGCUAAUACCGCAUACGACCUACGGGUGAAAGCAGGGGAUCUUCGGACCUUGCGCGAUUGAAUGAGCCGAUGUCGGAUUAGCUAGUUGGCGGGGUAAAGGCCCACCAAGGCGACGAUCCGUAGCUGGUCUGAGAGGAUGAUCAGCCACACUGGAACUGAAACACGGUCCAGACUCCUACGGGAGGCAGCAUUGGGGAAUAUUGGACAAUGGGCGCAAGCCUGAUCCAGCCAUACCGCGUGGGUGAAGAAGGCCUUCGGGUUGUAAAGCCCUUUUGUUGGGAAAGAAAAGCAGCAAGUUAAUACCCCGCUGUUCUGACGGUACCCAAAGAAUAAGCACCGGCUAACUUCGUG